CUCUGUGACUCCUACGGGAGGCAGCAGUGGGGAAUAUUGCACAAUGGGCGCAAGCCUGAUGCAGCAACGCCGUGUGAGUGAAGAAGGUUUUCGGAUCGUAAAACUCUGUCCUAAGGGAAGAAACAAAUGACGGUACCUUAGGAGGAAGCCCCGGCUAACUACGUGCCAGCAGCCGCGGUAAUACGUAGGGGGCAAGCGUUAUCCGGAAUCACUGGGCGUAAAGGGUGCGUAGGCGGCUUAGCAAGCCAGGGGUGAAAGGCAUUGGCUCAACCAAUGUAAGCCUUUGGAACUGUUAAGCUUGAGUGCAGGAGAGGUAAGUGGAAUUCCUAGUGUAGAGGUGAAAUUCGUAGAUAUUAGGAGGAACACCAGUGGCGAAGGCGACUUUCUGGACUGUAACUGACGCUGAGGCACGAAAGCGUGGGGAGCGAACAGGAUUAGAUACCCUGGUGA
rnacentral:rRNA from 1 species